rnacentral:tRNA from 1 species
GGGGAUGGACUGUGGCUCUAUGGUACAGGAUUUGCUUGGCAUGCAGAAGGUCCCAGUUUCAAUACCUGGCAUCUCCA